UUGUAUUAUUGUAGCUUGUGGUAUGGGUGAGUGAUAGAUGAGUGAUAAGCUGACUGGGUGAAUAUAGUGUGGAACUGGGUUAUUGAGUGGAUGAUUUGUCAUUAAUCGCUGAGAGAGAAUCAUUGAACAUUCAGUUUGGGAAAGACUUGGUAGAAGUGUAAGAGACUUUGUGGAAGUUCGGGUUAUUGUUUAACCCAGCUUGUGUGGUAUCUGUUGAGACCAACAACGGGAUGAGCAGCGAGGGGCAAUGUUAGAGUUUGACCAGGUGAUUGGGCUGCGGAAUUAUGUGAAGAAGGGACGAGGAAACUGACGUUGAUGUUAAUUCAUGGAAGUUGGGUACAGCUGAAGUGGAAAUUGAAGUUCCACAUGUGGGCUACUUAUUAGCCAUGAUGUUGUGGUGGUGAAUAACAAGUGUAUUGUUAUUGUGCAGCAGAAACAUAUUGUGUAAAUAUGGCUGUAGUAUUUAGAGCUGAUCUGAAAUGGAGGGUGCUAACUAAUGUUAGUACAUAAUUUAGUUAGAACAAUAUAUGUAUAUAAAAGUUGAUCACGAGGAAGUGAAUCAUACGGAUUGUGUUAUGAACUGAAACAUUGUAUAUUGAACUGUGUGGUUUUAGUAUAUUAUUUUGUGUGUUGUGAUACGUGAUAUUUUUAUAUGAAAUUAUGUGUAAAGUGGUGAUAAUGUAUGUUUAUUAUAUAUGAGAAGUGUGAGUGUUGAGGGAGUGCUGGUGAUUAGUGGUGUGUGAGAGGGAUAUAAUUAGGGUUAAUAAGUAGGAGUGGAGAAUGAAUGUGAUUGUUAUUUGUGUGCUGUAAAUAAAUGUAAUAUAAUUUA